rnacentral:rRNA from 1 species
AUUGAACGCUGGCGGCAUGCCUUACACAUGCAAGUCGAACGGUAACGCGGGGCAACCUGGCGACGAGUGGCGAACGGGUGAGUAAUGCAUCGGAACGUGCCCAGUAGUGGGGGAUAGCCCGGCGAAAGCCGGAUUAAUACCGCAUACGACCUAAGGGUGAAAGGGGGGGAUCGCAAGACCUCUCGCUAUUGGAGCGGCCGAUGUCAGAUUAGGUAGUUGGUGGGGUAAAGGCCUACCAAGCCGACGAUCUGUAGCUGGUCUGAGAGGACGACCAGCCACACUGGGACUGAGACACGGCCCAGAAUCCUACGGGAGGCAGCAGUGGGGAAUUUUGGACAAUGGACGCAAGUGUGAUCCAGCCAUGCCGCGUGCGGGAAGAAGGCCUUCGGGUUGUAAACCGCUUUUGUCAGGGAAGAAAUCUUCUGGGUUAAUACCUCGGGAGGAUGACGGUACCUGAAGAAUAAGCACCGGCUAACUACGUGCCAGCCGCCGCGGUAA